CCUACGGGGGGCAGCAGUGAGGAAUAUUGGUCAAUGGGCGGAAGCCUGAACCAGCCAAGUAGCGUGCAGGAUGACGGCCCUACGGGUUGUAAACUGCUUUUAUACGGGAAUAACGCGCCUUACGUGUAGGGCUUUGCAUGUACCGUAUGAAUAAGGACCGGCUAAUUCCGUGCCAGCAGCCGCGGUAAUACGGAAGGUCCGGGCGUUAUCCGGAUUUAUUUGGUUUAAAGGGGGCGUAGGCCGCAUGUCAAACGUGCUGUGAAAUGUCCGGGCUCAACCCGGGCCUUGCAGCGGAAACUGGCGUGCUUGAGUCCGCGGCAAGCAGGCGGAAUUCGUGGUGUAGCGGUGAAAUGCUUAGAUAUGACGAAGAACCCCGAUUGCGAAGGCAGCUUGCUGCAGCGGAACUGACGCUGAUGCUCGAAAGCGCGGGUAUCGAACAGGAUUAGAUACCCGGGUAGUC
rnacentral:rRNA from 1 species